rnacentral:lncRNA from 1 species
UAAAAACAGGCUAUAAAUCCAUUUUGUCAGGUGUAAAACAGUCAAAUUGAAAGUCACUGUUUUCAAGCCUACGUUAUCAGAUACACAAAUGACAACUACCUGUAGCUGGGGAGAACAUCUUCACAUGCCCCAUAAACUCCAUUUUGGCAAAAGAAAAGGCCCAGGGAGGAAACACACUUGCAGUGACCAAACAUGCAAUGAAGAAAAAAAAAAAAAAAAAUUCUGACAAUCUAAAAUCUUUUUGCUAAACUUCAGUGUAGCUGAAAUUGUCAUUAUCUCUCCUAUUCAUAUUUGACCAACAGACUUCUUACUGACCACCAACUGUGCAAAGCAUUAGAGACAGAUUGAUCAAAAGACAACCUUCACUGAAAGGAGCGUCUAGCCACUGAAGUCCACCACUCUGUAGCAUAAGUGCUGUAAGAGAUCAGUUAUUAUACAACUGAACUCCUCAACUGUUUUCUUCUAAGAGUUUUAUAGUUUAAGCACUUACAUUUAGGUCUCUGAUCCAUCUGGAGUUCAUUUUUGUAUGUGGUAUGAGGUUGGGGCCCAACUUCAUUCUUUUGCAUGUAGAUAUCCAGUUAUACCAGCACCAUAUGUAAAGUGGCUGUUCUUUCCCCACUGAAUGGUCUUGGCACCCUUGUUGGAAAUCAGUUGACCAUGGAUGUAUGGGUUUAUUUCUGGACUCUCAACUCUAUUCCAUGGAUUUACAUGUCUACCCUUAUUCCAGUACCACAUUGUUUUGAUUGCUAUACUUUGCAGUAAGUUUUGAAAUCAGGAGUUGUGAGUCUUCCACCUUUGUUCUUUUUUUUUUUUUUUCAAGAUUGUUUUAACUAUUUGGGAUCCUCUGAAAAUUCAUAUAUGUGUUUUGGUAUGUUUGUCCAUUUCUGCAAAAAAGAUCAUUGGAAUUUUAAUAGAUGUUACACUAAAUCUGUAAAACGACUUCAAGAGUAUUGCCAUCUUAACAAUAUUAUGUCUUCUAAUCCAUGAGCACAGGAAGUCUUUUGCUUAGUUAGAUCUUCUUUAAUUUCUUUCAGCAACGUUUUGUAGUUUUCAGCAUACAAGUCUUGCACUACUGCGGUUAAAUUUAUUCAUAAGUAUUCUAUUUUUUGAUGCUAUUGUAAACUGAAUUGUUUUCAUAGUUACCUUUUUGGGUUGUUCACUGCUAGUGUAUAGAAAUGCAACUGAUUUUUGUGUGGUGAGCUUGUAUCUUGCAACUUUGCUAAAAUUUGUCUAUUAGCUUUAACAAUUAUUUCAUGGAUUUUUUAGGAUUUUUUGUGAUUAACAUGUCAUGUGUAAACAGAGAUAGUCUUACUUCUUCCUUUGCCAUCUGGAUGCCUUUUAUUUUUCUUGCCCAAUUCUUCUGGCUAGAAUUUCCAGUACAAUGUUGAACAGAAGUGGCAACAGUAGACAUCAUUUAUCUUGUUCCUGCUACUGGGAGGAAAGUUUUCUCUUUCACCACUGAGUAUGAUGUUGCUGUGGGUUUUUUAUAGAUUCCUUUUAUAAGACUGAAGUUCUCUUAUUUUCCUACAUGUUGAGCAUUUUUCUCAUGAAAGGGUAUAAGAUUUUGUCACUUUUUGUGCGUGUCUACUGAGCUUUUUUCCCCUUCAUUCUACUAAAAUGGUACAUUACAUUGAUCUUCGUAUGCUGAAACACCUUUGCAUUCUUGGAAUAAAUCCUGCUUGGUCAUGGUAUAUAAUUCUUUUAAAAAAAUGCUGCUGGAUUUUGUUGGCUAGUAUUUUUGCUGAAGAAUUUUUAUCUAUAUUCCGAAGAGAUCUUGGCCUCUACUUUUCUUAUGAAAUAUGUGUCUGACUUUGGUAUCAGGGUAAUGCUUACCUCAUAGAAUAUUUAUUCUUUUAAUUUUUGGGAGAGUGUGAGGAUUCACAUUAAUUCUUCUUUAGUUGUUUGAUAGAAUCACCAGUGAAGCCACUG